rnacentral:hammerhead_ribozyme from 16 species
AGUCGACUAAUCGUGGUCCUGAUGAGUCUAUAUAAGACGAAACGGGUU